CCUUUGAGUGCGUUGUUGGAGCUGUACACUACCGCCUCCCCUGAUCUUAGGACGGGUCCUGCAGGAGAUUCUCCAGCGGUUGGCAGGAGCGUCUGGGCGCUUUGGUAGAGCGCCCGGAGAGCGCUGUUCUUCUCUACUGGGGGGGAGAACCAUCCCCUAGCUUGAAGAGACUCACUGUUGCAGACUUUCCACAGCAAGAAUGACGUUCCUGUUCUUAUGCUGCAGCUCUUUGCUUCUGGGUCAGAGCGAUCUGCUGUGGGGCGAAGAUCUCCAUUAAGGUGCAUCAAAGCUGCCUGGUGGUGUUGGAGCACAGUUACCGCCCUUUGUGGCCUGUGUUUCCGUUCUCGUGUGUUGGCAAAGACUGACGGAGAAAGUGUGGAGCAGGGAACCCUGAUUUUGUUGGAUCAUCGUCAGCUUCCAAGGAAAAGCCGCUGAAGGGCUGCACCUGUGGCACAUGGGCGUUCCCAGUCUAUGUAGGGGUCAGUCGGAGCUUCAGUGGAUGAUCCAUGUCUCAGCAACAGCAGAAUUGGAGCUGAGCCACUUCAGAGACCUACAUCACAGCUCACAGCAACACCUGAACCUCACCCCACAGAGCAAGGCCAGGGAUUGAACCCACCUGCUCAUGGAUCGGAUGCAUUGCUGCUGCUCCACCACGGGACCUCAGACCUUAGAGAAUUUCGCACUACACCUUCCUCAGAGAGGCUGAACCGGCAGUAUCUGAAUGAACUCAGCCAAUUCCAGACCCACUGGCACCAUCUGAAAUAAUAAUAAAUGUUGAUGUUUGAAACUGC
rnacentral:lncRNA from 1 species